AACGAACGCUGGCGGCAUGCCUAACACAUGCAAGUCGAACGAGACCUUCGGGUCUAGUGGCGCACGGGUGCGUAACGCGUGGGAAUCUGCCCUUUGCUUCGGAAUAACAGUUAGAAAUGACUGCUAAUACCGGAUGAUGUCUUCGGACCAAAGAUUUAUCGGCAAAGGAUGAGCCCGCGUAGGAUUAGGUAGUUGGUGGGGUAAAGGCCUACCAAGCCGACGAUCCUUAGCUGGUCUGAGAGGAUGAUCAGCCACACUGGGACUGAGACACGGCCCAGACUCCUACGGGAGGCAGCAGUGGGGAAUAUUGGACAAUGGGCGAAAGACCUGAUCCAGCAAUGCCGCGUGAGUGAUGAAGGCUUAGGUUGUAAAGACUCUUUACCCGGGAUGAUAAUGACAGUACCGGGAGAAUAAGACUCCGGCUAACUCCGUGCCAG
rnacentral:rRNA from 1 species